rnacentral:rRNA from 1 species
UACGGAGGGGACUAGCGUUGUUCGGAAUUACUGGGCGUAAAGCGCACGUAGGCGGCUUUCUAAGUCGGGGGUGAAAUCCUGGAGCUCAACUCCAGAACUGCCUUCGAUACUGGAAAGCUCGAGUCCGGGAGAGGUGAGUGGAACUGCGAGUGUAGAGGUGAAAUUCGUAGAUAUUCGCAAGAACACCAGUGGCGAAGGCGGCUCACUGGCCCGGUACUGACGCUGAGGUGCGAAAGCGUGGGGAGCAAACAGGG